AGAGUUUGAUCCUGGCUCAGAGCGAACGCUGGCGGCGUGCCUAACACAUGCAAGUCGAACGUGGAAGGGAGCAAUCCUGAGUAAAGUGGCGUACGGGUGAGUAACGCGUAGGUAAUCUACCCCAGAAUCUGGAAUAACCUGCCGAAAGGCGGGCUAAUACUGGAUAGAGCGAUGGAAUCCGUAAUUGGGUUUUUCGGGAAAGGGAGGGAGCAAUCCCCUUCGUUUUGGGAUGAGCCUGCGUCUCAUUAGCUAGUUGGUGGGGUAAAAGCUCACCAAGGCAUUGAUGGGUAGCUGGUCUGAGAGGAUGAUCAGCCACACUGGAACUGAAACACGGUCCAGACUCCUACGGGAGGCAGCAGUGGGGAAUCUUGCGCAAUGGACGAAAGUCUGACGCAGCCACGCCGCGUGAGUGAAGAAGGCCUUCGGGUUGUAAAGCUCUGUCGAGCGGGACGAAAAAUUAUUAGGUGAAUAGCCUAGUAAUCUGACGGUACCGCUAAAGGAAGCACCGGCUAACUCCGUGCCAGCAGCCGCGGUAAUACGGAGGGUGCAAGCGUUGCUCGGAAUUAUUGGGCGUAAAGGGUAGGUAGGUGGUCUCAUUUGUCUGGGGUGAAAGCCUUGAGCUUAACUCAAGAAGUGCCCCAGAAACGGUGAGACUGGAGUCCUGGAGAGGGUCGUGGAAUUCCCGGUGUAGCGGUGAAAUGCGUAGAGAUCGGGAGGAACACCAGAGGCGAAAGCGGCGACCUGGACAGGCACUGACACUCAACUACGAAAGCGUGGGGAGCAAACAGGAUUAGAUACCCUGGUAGUCCACGCUGUAAACGAUGGGUACUAGGUUUGGUGGGUCCUGACCCCCGCCGAACCGGCGCUAACGCACUAAGUACCCCGCCUGGGAAGUACGGUCGCAAGACUAAAACUCAAAGGAAUUGACGGGGCCCGCACAAGG
rnacentral:rRNA from 1 species